UACGAAGGGGGCGAGCGUUGUUCGGAUUUACUGGGCGUAAAGGGCGCGCAGGCGGCUCAUUUUGUCAGGCGUGAAAGCCCCGGGCUUAACCUGGGAACUGCGUUUGAUACGGAUGGGCUAGAGUUCGGGAGAGGAGAGUGGAAUUCCCAGUGUAGAGGUGAAAUUCGUAGAUAUUGGGAAGAACACCGGUGGCGAAGGCGGCUCUCUGGACCGAGACUGACGCUGAGGUGCGAAAGCGUGGGGAGCAAACAGG
rnacentral:rRNA from 1 species